AAUUAAAGAAAUUAAAAAUACAAAUUUGAAAAUAAAAAUUUUUAAUUUAAGAAAUAAUCAAGAAAGAGGGAUGCCAAGCGGAUUCUAAAUUACGAUUUUUGAACAUAAAAGUGGCUAUAACUCGGAAACGGCUCAUUUCCGGACUUAUGUUUGUAUGAACUUUUUUGCUUGUUUUUGGGUCCCGAAUCACCUCCCGAAGUGGAGUAGGCGAUUUUUCGGACACCCUGUAUAUUAGUAAGCCAUAUUAUCAAUCAUAUUACCAGUAUUUACUUUUUAAUGCUUAUAGAUGAUUUUAGCUACGGAUAUACACAUCUAAAAAAUUUUAUCUCAUUACCAUUUAUGAUAAUAAUCUAAAAAAUAGGACUUUAUGAAGUAUUCACAAAAAGGCCUUUCGACAAUUUUCAAAAAAAGACUUGUAGACUUUUUACAAAUCUGCAAAUGUGAAGUAUUGAUUUAAAUUUCCUUAUCUAUCGCUGUGUAUAAAUAAAGAUUUUACUUUCAUGUCGCAUAUACAUAUGUUGAUAUGUAUAUACACAUGAAUAAAGCAUUGGUAGAACAAAUAUUGUUUAUUAUAUUACUUUGUUGUCAACUUAUGUUACGAUAUCUCGAGGAACACGUCGAAAGACAGGAGCACGUGAUGAGGCUUCAUCCACCGGGAAGUAACACGCCUUAUAACGGAACACGCCUGUCCAAGUUUCUGACCUUCGACAAAGAUUUACCGCAUGCACGAGAGAAGAAUCAGGUGUAGAGGAGAACGGCUGCGUCCAAGGACGACGGGGGGCCUUGUGUUAACGCAAUGUUCGCGCGACGAACGCGUUAAUUAUGUUAUCAAUCUUACAUGUCGGGAAUGCAACUAAGGACGAAGUCGCCGAGUUCCUGUAAUCCAAUUAACAAGAAUUGUGACCCAGUUUCGGCCGGGCCGGACCCGCUGCUGAUCGCUCGCUCAUGUUACCAUUUACUUGUGAUACUUGUGUUAAACGAUUUAACGUUCCUAUUCGGCUUAACGCAAGUGCGAACCUUCUUCACGCAAAUGCAGUGAAAUUGUUUUUGUAACAUACGUAAAAAAAAUCACUUUAUUGCUUAGUUACAUAUAUAGAUAAAGAAAAGGAAAUAAUAUAUUUAAGGAAAUAUUUCUCUAUAUUUAUACAUUAAAUUAUUACCCACAGUUAGCACUUGAGAAAUGUAUAAUAUCCAAUGUUAUGACAAUAUGUA